rnacentral:rRNA from 1 species
GAUGAACGCUGGCGGCGUGCCUAAUACAUGCAAGUCGAGCGAACAGACGAGGAGCUUGCUCCUCUGACGUUAGCGGCGGACGGGUGAGUAACACGUGGAUAACCUACCUAUAAGACUGGGAUAACUUCGGGAAACCGGAGCUAAUACCGGAUAAUAUAUUGAACCGCAUGGUUCAAUAGUGAAAGACGGUUUUGCUGUCACUUAUAGAUGGAUCCGCGCCGCAUUAGCUAGUUGGUAAGGUAACGGCUUACCAAGGCGACGAUGCGUAGCCGACCUGAGAGGGGGGUCGGCCCCCCGGGACCUGAGACCCGGCCCAGCCCCCUAGGGGGGGCCGCAGUGGGGAAUCUCCCGCAGGGGGCGAAACCCUGCCGGGGCCACCCCGCGGGGGUAAGGAAGUUUUUCGGUUCGUAAACCUUUUUUUUUAGGGAAAAAAAAAUUUGUAAGUAACGAUCCCCGUUUUGGCGGUCCCAAAUCAAAAAGCCCCGGCUACCCCCGG